ACUCCUACGGGAGGCAGCAGUGGGGAAUAUUGCACAAUGGGCGCAAGCCUGAUGCAGCCAUGCCGCGUGUAUGAAGAAGGCCUUCGGGUUGUAAAGUACUUUCAGCAGUGAGGAAGGUGGGUAUGUUAAUAGCAUACUCAUUUGACGUUAGCUGCAGAAGAAGCACCGGCUAACUCCGUGCCAGCAGCCGCGGUAAUACGGAGGGUGCGAGCGUUAAUCGGAAUUACUGGGCGUAAAGCGCAUGCAGGUGGUUUGUUAAGUCAGAUGUGAAAGCCCGGGGCUCAACCUCGGAAUUGCAUUUGAAACUGGCAAACUAGAGUACUGUAGAGGGGGUAGAAUUUCAGGUGUAGCGGUGAAAUGCGUAGAGAUCUGAAGGAAUACCGGUGGCGAAGGCGGCCCCCUGGACAGAUACUGACACUCAGAUGCG
rnacentral:rRNA from 1 species